UUCUCUCUUGCUCUAUGAAACAAGCUUUGAAGUCCCUAAAUCUUGAAAGUUGAAGGCAUUAAUGGCAGAAAAAUUUCUUAAAUCUUGAUGUUUGAAGGCAUUUUUUGGAGAAAAAAAUUUCAUCUAGCUAUGUAGAUCUAAAAGAACAAGGCACUUUUGACUAUUUAAGGAUUUUCAAGUGAGGAUAACAAACUCAUUUAGAACAUAUUUUGGAUGCUGAAAUUUGCAAAAAGGUGAUGUUAAAACAUGUAGAUUGACCAUUUUUUACUGGGAAGGUGAAGGCAACUUUGGAUUAUAGUUUAAGGAUAGUAUAUGAUUUUGCUAAGGGUUCAUGAUCACAAUAUUCUUACUAGCUUACCUCAUUGUUGUAUAGUGUGAUGACUUAUGCUCACCUUAUUUUGUAAUUACAUUAUA